UUUUUAUCGGAAACUAAAACAUUUUUCGGGAAAAAACCUACAUUACAGUUUUCAAAAGUUUCGUUUGGACAAAAACUGCGAAUUUUAUGAAAAUUUUUCAGACACAAAAAGGGCACUUUGCUCCUGUAAAAAGGGACUUGCCAAAACUUGGGGGGGCCAUGGCCCCCCUGGCCCCCCCGGUUCCUACGCCCCUGCACGCGUACGUUGGUCGUGUAGUUAAGUAGUUUCUGCGAUUUUUCCUGGCUUCACAUUAUGAGCUAAAAAUUAAAGUAUAGUUUUGUCAAAUGCGCAAUAGUCUGAAAAUGGAUGUCCUUGAUAAAUUACGUUUAUUCCGUGAAAAGAGACAGAGUAAUUCCGGACAUUUUGUACGCGACAAUUGACCCGUUUCAGAUUCAAACCUGAAUAUGAAACUUGAAUCUGAAACUGUAGAGUGGAUCGUUUAAUCCACGACCACACGCAAAGGCCACGCAGCUGGGUACAAGCAAGACUGACUACCGUAGCUUGGCUUGCUGUUAUAAUAGGGAGCUUAAGCAUGUGGGAUGGCAAUACGACGACGACGGCCAAAACAAAUUCCUUCAAAUAAAUGAUAGUAAAGAAAACGUGUCGUAUAUUAUAACUCGUAUGAAUUCAAUACAGUAUAAGAAGCUGAAAACAUUGGCUUUAUGUUUGGGAAGAGUUCUACUGAACCGAAUUUUAAGUUGCACUUGUUACGGCUUGAAAUGCAUGCGUUGUAUAAAAGACGUGAAAAUCUGUGAUUUGCCGUUGUAAACAGAGCGACGACCACGUCUGAAACUCUCCUGGGACUUUAAUUAUUUAUUCAUUUUUGAUUGACUCAUUGUAUUGGUUGCCAUCGUCGUCGUGUUGCCGUCCUACAUGCUUAAGCUCCCUAUUGUUCGAGACGAAGCUCGAGCUGCGAGUGCUUGCAUCUAAUUAAAAUGAACUGUUUAGCAUUGUGAUUGGAUGAAAGUGCUCAUGCAUGCACUCGCAGCGAGGAACUUCGUGCGAGGACUGUAAAUCCGCCUUUAGGCUCAGAAUUUGAAUUUAUUUCUUUUAUACAGCCUUUCGAUAAUUACGUCAUUUGGCCUGGAAACCUCGCUCUUAUGAAUCAGGGCGUUAUAAAACAGUAUGUUUUAUAAAACAGCAUCACCAAAAAGUAUGUGUGACGUAAUUAUCGAAAGGGUGUAUUAGUUAUCAGCUUUACAGUGACAACACAAGAAAGAAAUAGGGCAAAUCCCCAAUUGGCAUCAAACCCCUGAUGGCUAAAAAAACAUGAUAAAAUAUUGAAUUAGUAAUAAGCCUAGUAAUAAGCUGGAACUAACUGAAAAAGUAUAAAAAGAAAAUUCCGAAGAAUAAUGUCUCUUGAAAUUCAAGAUUUUAAGAAAAUGAUACAUCAUCAGACAUCAUCUUCAAAGCAUGCAUCAUCUUCAAAGCAUGCAUCAUCAGAAAGCUGAAACAACUGUAAUUACAGUUUCAGAAGCUCGUCUUGUUGUAAUGCGAAUCUGAAUUUCGAGAUGACAUUAUUCUUUGCAAUUUAUAUACGUUCUGAAAUUGUCUGCUGGCCGUGGUUUUUCUACCUGAAAAAGAUUGAAAGCACUUCAACGUUUCGAGCGAAGGUCUUACGUCAGGACGUUGAUAGCGUAGGAAGUGCCCGACUGUCAUUAAAAUGUAGGAAAAAAACAAUCAGGG